rnacentral:rRNA from 1 species
UUGGAAGUAAAAGUCGUAACAAGGUUUCCGUAGGUGAACCUGCGGAAGGAUCAUUCACAAGAUUAUAUUUUAUAUUACUUUGUGGAACAUUUGGUUGAAUUUACAUGUUUUAUUACAAAAAAUUAAUUAUAAUUAAAAAAAUAAUUUUAAGAAAACCUCCAACAACGGAUCUCUUGGUUCCCAGAUCGAUGAAGAGCGCAGCGAAUUGCGAAAUGUGAUGUGUAUUGCAGUGAAUCAUCAAUUCUUGAACGCACAUGGCACCCCUUUUAGGGGUAUGCUUGUAUGAGGGUGUUUAAUAUGAAAUUGCUUUGGCUUUUUUUAAAUAAAUGGUUUUUCAAAUUGUUACUAAUAGACGAAAGAAUCAGUGCAACAAGCUGUGUUGAAUCUUUCAUUAAAUCUUUUAGUUAACUACUUUAACUAUUUGCACCUCAUAUCAAGCAAGACUACCCGCUGAACUUAAGCAUAUCACUAAGCGGACGAA